rnacentral:lncRNA from 1 species
CAGUCAGUCAGUCAGUGAAACCUCUUGGCAACCUGCAAAUGGAGUAAAACUAAAAGUGCCUCCUUUUAACUUAAGGCAUGAUUGGCAUUGGAAGCCAGCACGUGCUGGCCCUUUCUGUGGUGUCCCUAUUAUCUCUGGGGAUGGUAUAUGUCAUCUGUUUAUGGUGUCGAAGGAAAACAAAGAUAAUACAAGAAGACAAUCAACUGUAUGAUCCACAUGCACCAACAGUGAUUCAUCGCGAGGGAAGCAGGUUUGCUGUAACCCGAUCCAAAACAGGUGAAGUUACAUCCAACAUUAGCAUAAGAGAAGAAGACCUUUAGCAGCAAAUAUUAUUGUUAGGGCAGUGCCUUCCACUGUUACGUACUACCACAUUAGGUGGUGAUUGUUGCUUGCCUUGCACUGUUACGUACCCCACAUUAGCUGGUGAUUGUUGCUUGCCUUGUGGUGAGCCACAGCAUGCCGGCAAGAAAAGGCUAAUGUCUAGUGUUAAAGUGUUAAAUGUCAAAUCUAAGAAAUGGCAGACCACUGGCCUUGCCUGAGAGCCAUCUUACAGUACUCUAACAGAUACUUAUCAUUCCUUUUUUAGUUACAAAACCCAAUCAGAUUACCAGGAG